rnacentral:rRNA from 1 species
CAGUAGCCGCGGUAAUACGUAGGUGGCAAGCGUUGUCCGGAAUUAUUGGGCGUAAAGGGCUCGCAGGCGGUUUCUUAAGUCUGAAGUGAAAGGCGUGGGCUCAACCCAUGAACUGCUUUGGAAACUGUAUAGCUUGAGUGUCGGAGGGGUAAGCGGAAUUCCUAGUGUAGCGGUGAAAUGCGUAGAUAUUAGGAGGAACACCGGAGGCGAAGGCGGCUUACUGGACGACAACUGACGUUGAGGCUCGAAGGCGUGGGGAGCAAACAGGAUUAGAGACCCCUGUAGUCCCUGUCUCUUAUAC